rnacentral:tRNA from 2 species
GGUGAGAUGGCCGAGAGGCUGAAGGCACACCCCUGCUAAGGGUGCAUAGGGCUUAAAACUCUAUCGAGGGUUCGAAUCCCUCUCUCACCGCCA